UCUGACCAGCUCUGGAAGUGAGGACGAAUAUGUCCCUGACAAGAGAGACACAACAGACUCAGAUAGUGAGCCACAACCAAAAACAACCAAAGAGAGAACACGGACUGGACCAAAAAGGAAUAAGAAAAGGGUCAUUAGAGCAAAAACCUCAACACACAAGACAUUGGACACUUCUGAACUUGACCAGCAAAAAUGUGAAAAUCUGACCAGCUCUGGAAGUGAGGACGAAUAUGUCCCUGACAAGAGAGACGUCACAGACACAGAUGAAAAAAUAAUUGAAGACAGUGAUGCCACAG